CUUCUGGGGUUAAUGAAAUAUUCUGAAACUGGAUAGUCGUGGCGGUUACACAACACUGUGAAUUUACUCAACACUCCUGAGUUGCACAUUUUGAGGUGGAUGAAAUGGUGAAAUUUGUGUUAUGCUGUUUUACAGCUGAAAAACAAAAGCACGUGCUGUGUGGGACUUCUGGCCAGUGUGUUGCCUCUACUUCCCCCCAGGGCCUUUGCACAUGCUGCUCCCACCACCUGGGAUGUUCAUCCCUCCUGUCUUCUUUUAGUCUGUCCUUUAGGUCUCAGUGUAACCGUGAUUUCUUCAGAAAGCCUCAAGCCUCCUCUUACAUGCUUGGCCACCAUGGGCCAUCCUGGUGGAGCACUUGUCUUGGUCAUAAUUAUGACAUUUAUAUGAUGAAUGUCUCCCCCCACUAUGCUGUAAGCUUCUGGCCUGUGUAUUUUUAGCUCCCUGAUGUGUCCCUAGGGCUUAGCUCAGUGCCUGGUGCCUUGUAGAUCCUCAAUAAAUGUUUAUGGAGGGCAUAAAUUAAUAAACAUCCCUAAGGGGAUUUUGAUCGAGUCACUUCCCCCAGCAGCCCCAUCUCACAUGGUUUCUCCACGACUGCCACUGCAGUAAUCGAGCCAUCAUAGCCACCUUCAUAGCCUUCAUGGCCACCACAACUCAUCCGAUUGCCACUGAGAGUCAGGAUGAGGCCAGCAGAACCCAGAUAUGGCAACGAGGAGGAGCAGCCGAACUCCUGGGCAGCUUAGGAAGUAAGACAGGGUUGGUCAACAAGGGUGGAGUUCAGGUCGAUCACUGGUGUUAGGACGAGGGAAGUCAGGUGGCACGUGGGGCAUCUGUCGGAGUUGGACUCGUGAACACAAGUCAGUCGGUGCUGCCCAGGAGGGGCUUUCCAAGAAACUCUUGUUGAACGAAUGUGUGAAAGAAUAAACCAGGAACUUGCAGGAGUACUUGAGCCCUGCUGCCCCUUACCAAGACGGGGAGCCCCGGAGGAGGAGCAGGUUGGGAGACCAGCGAUGAGAUGGGUUCUGAUGUUGAGGUGCUUCUGGGACGGCUUGAAGAGGUGACAGGCCGGGAGCUCCACCUGCCUGCUGCUGUCCAGCUGGAUGAGGCGGCCCAAGGCAUGAAGCCAGGAAGGCAGCUCAUCGGCCCAGCAGGUGCCAGGCCGUGCACAGCAGCUUCCUCCUGAAAGGCCUCCUCCACUCUCCUGGCUGGAUCCUCUUCUUUCCCCAAGAAGCCUUUUCUAAUGAUCUGACAUGGCCCCUCCUAGGUGUUCCUAGAGCAUUCCAGGCUUUCCUUAUCACAAGCUGUCACACCACUGUGAUGUCUGCUCUCGCCUGCCUUCCCCACCAUGGAUGGGUCCUGGGUCUCUAACCCCGGACCUAGGGUCUUGUCCAGUGUAGAAGCUCCAUAAAAAUAAAAAUGCCUUGAAUGAAUAUACUAGCUGGUUGAAUUGGGCUGGACUGAGCUACUGGUGGCCUAAUGAGUUCAAAGGAAUAGUUAGGGGACGCCUGGGUGGCUCAGCGGUUGAGCGUCUACCUUCAGCUCAGGUCAUGAUCCUGGGAUCCGGGAUCGAGUCCCGCAUCGAGCCUGCUUCUCCCUCUGCCUGUGGCUGCUUCUCUCU